ensembl:lncRNA
AUGCAGGCGCUGCGGGAUGCUCCCGGGGGCCGAGCACGGGGAGGCCCCGGGGCGCCCGGCUCCCCCCCCCCAGCCCCGCGCCGGGGUGCCAGGCACCGUGCGCACGAUGCGCCCAGACCCGCCAGGCACCGGGCGCGCGUGGGGCCGGCGGGCCACAAAGCCGCCCUUCUUCCCCCGCCGCAGCUGCUCCCUCCCGCCGGCGGCUCCCGCGGCCCCGGGCAGGGGGGAGACCCCACGGGCAGGGGGGGCACCGCCACGCACCUCCCCGCGCCCCCUCCCCGAAGGACGCGGGGCCGCUUCCGCCAGCGCGUGCAGACGGACGGAUGGACGGACGGACGGAGGCAGGAUGGGCGAGGGCCCCGCGCGCAGCCUGACGUCACCGCCGGCGGCCCAUGUCCCCCAGCGCUGCGCUGCGCGGCACCGCGGCCCGGGGCCCUGCGCACAACAAUUAACUCAUGCCCCAGGAAUGCACAUGUGAGGCCGCCGCCGCCGCCGCCGCCGCGAGAAAACAGCCCCCCCGCGCCACCCGGGGCCACCCACCCCGCUCGCAGGAGCCCGCUCGCCUGUGCCGGCCAGCCCGGGGCACCGGGGGCCGGGGGGAGACCCGCGGCUCAGCCCUGCGCUGGGGAUGGAGACGCUGCGCCGUGCACCGGCUGCACAGCUCGGGGGGGCCGGGACCCCGGACGGGGUCUGGAGCAGCCACGACGCGCCGCGGUAUCGGCGACCCUCCGGCAACUAAUCAGCCCUUUGCAAACACAGCGCCGCCGGCGCAUGCCGGGCUCAGAGCCCCUGGGUCCCCACGCACCGGGAAGGGCUGCAGGGAUGCGGGGCGUCGCUCCCCGGGGACACCGGCGCCCCGUGGGCCCCCGCAACGCCGGGGCCGGCGAGCAGCUCUCGCUGCCGGGGGACGUCACGCGCCCGGCGCCGCCGUGUUUGCAGAGCGCUCCGCGAUCCGCGGAGACGGGCGACGCGCGGGCUGUGCAAACACGGCCGGCGCCGCUCCCGCGCACCGCGGCGGACGGGCGGGCAGCGAGCCCACCGGUGGCCCCGCGGGAACCCCGCACCUCCUCGCUGACCUGCGCCGCCCCUCCGGCUUCCGGCUAUUUUCCGCCGCGGGAAGCGGGCCCGUCCCUUCGCCCCGGUCCUGCACAUCCCGGCGUCCCCGAGGACAGCGCCGGCUCCGGCUGCGAGGGGCACCGGGGGCUGCAGCGGGGGCUCCUCCAUCCUCGCCCCCCGGCUCGCCUGCCUGUCCCACCCCGACUCCCAUCACGGAUUCGUGAGCGCUCCCAGAGCCGCCGGCGGAUGCUGCCUGCCGGCGCCCAGGGCCACUGGAUGAGCCCAACCUUCACAGCCGGGCUGACGCCUCCGAACAGAUGGGAAUAUUUCCUGGGGUGCCGGAUGUGCGCGGAGCAGUGCUGGGGGAUGGCGGCGGGGCCGGCAGCAUGCCCCGGGCCGUGCGGGAAUGGCUCGCCGGCAGGGCGCCCUCCGGCUCAGCCAAGGCGAGGACCACCCACGCCCCGGGGCCGCCGCCACGCGCGGCUCCUCCUGCGCCGAGCGCCACGGUGCCCCCAAGCACAGGAUCCGUCCCAUCCCGCCGGCACCUGCGGCCAGGGCAGGGCUGCAGGGCACAGCCAAAUCCCAGGAGCCCCGGCCCCACGGCGCAGCCCGGCCCAGCCCUGCCACCAUCUGUCCCUGUCACCGCUGCAGCGCGGCAGCUGCCCUGAAACCUAA